GAUGAACGCUAGCGGCAGGCCUAACACAUGCAAGUCGAGGGGCAGCGCAAAGUAAACUUGUUUAUUUGGCGGAGACAGGCGCACGGGUGCGUAACGCGUAUGCAACCUACCUUGGAAAGAGGGAUAGCCCGGAGAAAUUCGGAUUAAGAGGUCAUAGCAUUAUAGAUUGGCAUCAAGUUAUACGGAAAGCUUUGGCGGUACAAGAUGGGCAUGCGUCCUAUUAGCUAGUUGGUGAGGUAACGGCUCACCAAGGCGACGAUAGGUAGGGGGCCUGAGAGGGUGGUCCCCCAAACUGGGACUGAGAUCAGGACCAGACUCCGACGGGAGGCAGCAGUGAGGAAUAUUGGUCAAUGGGCGCAAGCCUGAACCAGCCAUGCCGCGUGAAGGAUGAAGGUUCUAUGGAUUGUAAACUUCUUUUAUUUGGGAAUAAACCUCUUUACGUGUAGAGAGCUGAAGGUACCAAAUGAAUAAGCACCGGCGAAUUCCGUGCCCGCCGCCGCGGUAACAC
rnacentral:rRNA from 1 species